UUACAGUAUUUUUUGGUACGUCUCAAGCUUAUACAGACAAGCAGGACAAAUUCUAGGAAAUGGAGGACAGGAAGUGACCUCCUGAGAAGGAAAUAAGACUGCUCCCUGUGUCAGAACACCAAGACUUCCUGUCUCCAGCUACUAGCGGGACCCUAUGCGAGAGUGAGGAGUUGAUAGAGAAGGCAACAUGGUCACAGUGGCAAUAGAUUGAGAAGGUCAGUCCAGACAUAUCCAUGUCCAGUCACCACAGAUUCCAGCUCCUCCUGGGGUCUCCAUUGAGUAGGACAUGCCUUAUGCAGCUCUAUCAGGACCCAACCAUGGACAUCCAUGGAGAGAGAGAGGGGGCCACAUCAUGCUCACUGACUUUGAAGGUCACCAGACACCCGUGCUGCCAAGAUGUUUACAUUUCUGAGCUGAUAGAAGAGGGAGCAGCUCUAGGGCUGGAGAGCUGCUGGUGCAUGUCAUCUUUUAAGCAGAUGUAGGAAUGCCUCAACCUAUCCCCCCACCCCACACUGUCUCAGACAAUUUAGACUUCUAGAUUUGUUUGUUUGUUGACAUAUUUCAAUUUCAUUUUUCCUUCUGUGUACUCUUUACUUAAAAAA
ensembl:lncRNA